rnacentral:rRNA from 1 species
GACGAACGCUGGCGGCGUGCCUAAUACAUGCAAGUAGAACGCACAGUUUAUACCGUAGCUUGCUACACCAUAGACUGUGAGUUGCGAACGGGUGAGUAACGCGUAGGUAACCUGCCUGGUAGCGGGGGAUAACUAUUGGAAACGAUAGCUAAUACCGCAUAAUAUUAAUUAUUGCAUGAUAAUUAAUUGAAAGGUGCAAUUGCACCACUACCAGAUGGACCUGCGUUGUAUUAGCUAGUAGGUGAGGUAACGGCUCACCUAGGCGACGAUACAUAGCCGACCUGAGAGGGUGAUCGGCCACACUGGGACUGGGACACGGCCCAGACUCCUACGGGAGGCAGCAGUAGGGAAUCUUCGGCAAUGGACGAAAGUCUGACCGAGCAACGCCGCGUGAGUGAAGAAGGUUUUCGGAUCGUAAAGCUCUGUUGUAAGAGAAGAACGGGUGUGAGAGUGGAAAGUUCACACUGUGACGGUAUCUUACCAGAAAGGGACGGCUAACUACGUG